ACGGGUGCGUAACGCGUGGGAAUCUGCCCCUUGGUUCGGAAUAACAGUUGGAAACGACUGCUAAUACCGGAUGAUGACGAAAGUCCAAAGAUUUAUCGCCAAGGGAUGAGCCCGCGUAGGAUUAGCUAGUUGGUGAGGUAAAGGCUCACCAAGGCAACGAUCCUUAGCUGGUCUGAGAGGAUGAUCAGCCACACUGGGACUGAGACACGGCCCAGACUCCUACGGGAGGCAGCAGUAGGGAAUAUUGGACAAUGGGCGAAAGCCUGAUCCAGCAAUGCCGCGUGAGUGAUGAAGGCCUUAGGGUUGUAAAGCCCUUUUACCCGAGAUGAUAAUGACAGUAUCGGGAGAAUAAGCCCCGGCUAACUCCGUGCCAGCAGCCGCGGUAAUACGGAGGGGGCUAGCGUUGUUCGGAAUUACUGGGCGUAAAGCGCACGUAGGCGGUUAUUCAAGUCAGAGGUGAAAGCCCAGUGCUCAACACUGGAACUGCCUUUGAAACUAGAUAGCUUGAAUCCAGGAGAGGUGAGUGGAAUUCCGAGUGUAGAGGUGAAAUUCGUAGA
rnacentral:rRNA from 1 species